rnacentral:rRNA from 1 species
GACGAACGCUGGCGGCGUGCCUAAUACAUGCAAGUAGAACGCUGAAGAGAGGAGCUUGCUCUUCUUGGAUGAGUUGCGAACGGGUGAGUAACGCGUAGGUAACCUGCCUGGUAGCGGGGGAUAACUAUUGGAAACGAUAGCUAAUACCGCAUAAAAUGGAUUAUCGCAUGAUGAUCCAUUGAAAGGUGCAAAUGCAUCACUACCAGGUGGCCUUGCGUUGGAUUAGUUAGUUGGUGGGGUAACGGGGCAUCAAGGCGAGGCUACAUAGCCGACCUGAGAGGGUGGUCGGCCGGACUGGGAGUGGGACAGGGCCCAGAGGCCUGGGGGAGGGAGCAGGAGGGAAUCGGGGGCAAGGGGCGGAAGUCUGACCGAGCAAGGCCGAGGGAGGGAAGAAGGUUGUCGGGUCGGAAAGGUAGGUUGUAGGGGGAGAACGAGUGUGAGAGUGGAAAGUUCACAGUGUGACGGUAGCUGGCCAGAAAGGGACGGCUAACUACGUG